rnacentral:rRNA from 1 species
UACGUAGGAUCCAAGCGUUGUCCGGAUUUACUGGGUGUAAGGGGCGCGCAGGCGGACUUAUAAGUCAGUGGUGAAAUCUCACAGCUUAACUGUGAAACUGCCUUUGAUACUGUAGGUCUUGAAUUAGGGAGAGAUUCGUGGAAUUCCGAGUGUAGCAGUGAAAUGUGUAGAUAUUCGGAAGAACACCAGAGGCGAAGGCAGCGAAUUGGCCCUAUAUUGACGCUCAGGCACGAAAGCAUGGGGAUCAAACAGG